UGCCCCCGUCGUCUAGUGGCCUAGGACGCCGCCCUCUCAAGGCGGUAACGGCGGUUCGAAUCCGCUCGGGGGUACCCA
rnacentral:tRNA from 1 species